CGCUCCUUCUCUGAAAGAGGAAAAAAAAACACCGCUGCCCGCUACCGGGGGCGCCUGGCAGAAGAUGUCAGUGUUUAUUGAGGGUCCCCAGUGAGUGUGUGAGGAUUUGAAGAGUGCCUUUGGGGCAUUCGUGGAGGAUUCUGGUUUGCAGUUACUUUCCUGAUCUUGAGGCUUCUCCCAGACCUGUGAUUCUGAACACUGGACUUACUUAUGGGGAUUUGGAUGAGGAGACUUUAGACAGGGUCCCAAUGCACUGCCACCGAUGUUGGAAUUUGGGAUCUCGGGGUUUCUGCUCCCAUCCCAGAAUGUGAUUUUGAAGUCCCGGUGGUCCCUCUGGAUUACCACACCUAGAGCCUGGAUGAAGACUUGGGACUGUGUGGGUUUGUAAGUUUGGGUUGAGUCGGCUGAUGCGCAAAGGUGUGUUUUGGGUUCAUGUAUGGGAUGGACUUCCAGAGGAAGUACUGGGUGCGGGUACAGUUACAGCAUUGAAAAGGCAGUUGGCUGUACCUUGUGAAAUUGAGGAAGGAUUCAUGUUUGGACUCCAGCUCUUCACAAUCUCUUGUCGAUGACUGAGACGUACAGAUCAAAUCUAAUGUUUCCGUGUUUGUUGAUGGCAUAACCAUAGAUGAGAUUGUGAGCUGCACAGAGAAUGCAACAAGGAUGAAGAAGGACAUUGUCUGAGUUUCGUCAUAUUUAAAUGCAUGUGAUGUGGCCAUCAGUGGCUAGGCGAUCAUUUACUUCCCAUCUCGAGUUGCCAAGCAAAGGUGGUGGUGGUUCUGAGCAAUGUGAACUUUGGUUUCUCUUCACACAUGUUGAGCUUUUCCAGCAAUUCUGUUUUUAUUUGUGAGCUGCCUCACUUGACACACUGCAAUCCGUUGGGAGCACGGACAGCCACAGCGCUGGUAGAAAGGAGCUUGCGUGGCUCGGAGAAGACCUUGGAAAUGCUGCUGGCGUCAUACACCUGCUGUUGUUUUCCUUCCAGCUGUUUUGUGACCAUGCUAGGUGGUAUUAUCAGUGGUGCUUCCGAUGAAGCGAUGUUCUUCUACUCUGCUUGGAAUUUACACUGUCCGGUUGUUACGAUAUCGGUGGUAACGUGUGUGGAAUGUGCUGUCGAAGGAGGGUAAUGACGUUCACUGCUGCUGCUGGGUGUCAGAGGUAGAGGGAGCGAAUGACG